rnacentral:lncRNA from 1 species
UCUGGCGGUACAUUCUGUCCCGGCCCCUUAUAGGGAAUUUACUCUCAGUUGGACCCACCUCCACCCUUACCCCCACCAGAGGGCUGUUCCUGGCAAAGCAGAGCAGCUUCACCAUCAGGCACAGGACAUGCCAGUUUCGAGAGACGUUUAGGAUUUAUGUGCAACCAAUGAAUAAGCAGAUGGAGUGUCAGAGAGAGUGGGGCCUACCCACUGUCUCCUGGACGAGCUGGGACCAAACCCAGCCUACGCAGGAGGGGUCAUAACAUGAGGCCUGUAUCUGCUUUGUUCCCAUGGAAUCCGGUAAAGUGGAUCCCCAGUUCGACUCCAGCAGGCCCAUCUCUCACCUGUCUGCCACGUCCACACUGCCACCAGGGACAGAGCUAACAUCUGGCUCUGCUUCAUGAGGCCUCCAGCCCCAGAGCAGCUCAGGGACAGGAAGGAUGAACUCUGCCUGGCCUUGCUGAGCUAGUUCUCGGGGCUCCCACUGCAAGCUCUGUGGUUAACGCCUCUGCUGACAGCGGACAGGACAGACUUUCUCUGAAAGUCUGAGUUUCUCUGAAUCUCUGAGGUGCAGGAUUCUCAGAAACCCAGCGGCAGCCUUGCCACGCACCACCGCUGCGACACUGGCCACUCCCGGCAAUCUGAGGGGCAUUUUGUGUGUCCCCAGCACCUGUACAGCCUCACACUUUGAAGGUGUCCAAUCACAUCUGCUGGAGGAACAAGUGGCCCAAUGUUGCAUGGAUCCUCUGGGUCGGUGUCAUCUCUCUGGGUCGGUGUCAUCUGUCCCCUCUCACCAACAGGAUCGGGGGAGAACAAAAUGAGAACAUAUGGAGAACACAGC